AGACUUUUGAUUAAACUAUAUGUUACCUCUGUGGCUAUUGAUAGCCAAUUCCAGGAUAACCAUUUCUCCUAUAUCCUGUAUUCGGAUCCAUUCCGUCCAGCUAUCAAUUUUCCCCUCAAAAUUAUACUGCAGUCCAUAUUCAUGUCCAUUCUUAAUGACACGUGCCCAGUUUUUAACAAGUAAGAUAUAGCAGUGUUUAUCUACUGUGUAUUUCAUCGUCCACAUGAAUAGCCAUGUUUUUUC